UACGAAGGGUGCAAGCGUUACUCGGAAUUACUGGGCGUAAAGCGCACGUAGGCGGCUUGGUAUGUCGGGUGUGAAAUCCCCGGGCUCAACCUGGGAACUGCAUCCGAAACUGCCUUGCUAGAGUAUGGGAGAGGGAAGUGGAAUUUCCGGUGUAGCGGUGAAAUGCGUAGAUAUCGGAAGGAACAUCAGUGGCGAAGGCGACUUCCUGGACCAAUACUGACGCUCAGGUGCGAAAGCGUGGGGAGCAAACAGG
rnacentral:rRNA from 1 species